rnacentral:misc_RNA from 1 species
AAAUUGCAGCCCGACUUGAGUGAAGCUCAUUUUGCUUAAAAGCUUUUCAUAUUUGUAGAAAAUCUUCUGAGCAAAAUAGCGGGAACGGAAGGCGGAAAUGUCU